GCUCCGCAAACGACAGGCAGACGGAAGGGCCGUUACUUACCAUCUCUCUCCCUUCGCCCCCACUGCCUCAGCUAAAAUGCCCAAGAAACCAACGAAGCUAAAUUCCCAGGACCCACCAGGUCCUGACGCUUUACAGGAUUUCCGAGGCCCUGGACUAGGUCCUCUCCACCUCGGAUCUUGCGGUUCUGUUACCCUGGUCUCCUCCGGGAAGUCUUACGUGGCCCGUGGGGGCUCGCGCUGGCCAGAACCCAGGCGGACCCUGCCCACUGCCUGCUGUUUACCCCAGUUGGCGUAAAUCUCUCCCCACAGUCGGUGGGCAGGAUCUUUGGAGAUUCACAUGAACUACUGGAUUUGACACAUGCAGUCACCAUCAAUGUUCCGAGGAGAAGAACAUUUACUGACUUCUUGAAAUUAUAAUUAACUUCAAUAAAUUACAAGCCUGG